ACGAUUGACGGAGCGAAGCGACGUCAAAGCGUAUACAAAGUCGAGUUGGCUUAGGGAUACGUUCGUUGGGUAGGGGAGCGUUCUGUAAGCCUGUGAAGGUGGCCUGUGAGGGUUGCUGGAGGUAUCAGAAGUGCGAAUGCUGACAUAAGUAACGAUAAAGCGGGUGAAAAGCCCGCUCGCCGGAAGACCAAGGGUUCCUGUCCAACGUUAAUCGGGGCAGGGUGAGUCGACCCCUAAGGCGAGGCCGAAAGGCGUAGUCGAUGGGAAACGGGUUAAUAUUCCCGUACUUGGUGUUACUGCGAAGGGGGGACGGAGAAGGCUAUGUUGGCCGGGCGACGGUUGUCCCGGUUUAAGCGUGUAGGUGUGUGUUCCAGGUAAAUCCGGUUCACUUUAACACUGAGGCGUGACGACGAGGCACUACGGUGCUGAAGCAACAAAUGCCCUGCUUCCAGGAAAAGCCUCUAAGCAUCAGGUAACAUCAAAUCGUACCCCAAACCGACACAGGUGGUCAGGUAGAGAAUACCAAGGCGCUUGAGAGAACUCGGGUGAAGGAACUAGGCAAAAUGGUGCCGUAACUUCGGGAGAAGGCACGCUGACACGUAGGUGAAGUGAUUUACUCAUGGAGCUGAAGUCAGUCGAAGAUACCAGCUGGCUGCAACUGUUUAUUAAAAACACAGCACUGUGCAAACACGAAAGUGGACGUAUACGGUGUGACGCCUGCCCGGUGCCGGAAGGUUAAUUGAUGGGGUCAGCGCAAGCGAAGCUCCUGAUCGAAGCCCCGGUAAACGGCGGCCGUAACUAUAACGGUCCUAAGGUAGCGAAAUUCCUUGUCGGGUAAGUUCCGACCUGCACGAAUGGCGUAAUGAUGGCCAGGCUGUCUCCACCCGAGACUCAGUGAAAUUGAACUCGCUGUGAAGAUGCAGUGUACCCGCGGCAAGACGGAAAGACCCCGUGAACCUUUACUAUAGCUUGACACUGAACAUUGAGCCUUGAUGUGUAGGAUAGGUGGGAGGCUUUGAAGUGUGGACGCCAGUCUGCAUGGAGCCGACCUUGAAAUACCACCCUUUAAUGUUUGAUGUUCUAACGUGGACCCGU
rnacentral:rRNA from 1 species